GAUGAACGCUAGCGGCAGGCUUAAUACAUGCAAGUCGAGGGGCAGCAGGGAUAGCAAUAUUCGCUGGCGACCGGCGCACGGGUGCGUAACACGUAUACAAUCUGCCUUUUACAGGGGGAUAGCCUUUCGAAAGAGAGAUUAAUACCCCAUAAUAGUUGACCGGGCAUCUGGUUGAUUUGAAAGCUCCGGCGGUAAGAGAUGAGUAUGCGCCUGAUUAGCUAGUAGGUGAGGUAACGGCUCACCUAGGCUACGAUCAGUAGGGGAUCUGAGAGGACUAACCCCCACACGGAUACUGAGACACGGACCCGACUCCUACGGGAGGCAGCAGUAAGGAAUAUUGGACAAUGCCCGCAAGGGUGAUCCAGCCAUGCCGCGUGCAGGAAGAAGGCCCUAUGGGUCGUAAACUGCUUUUACACCGGAGAAAACCUCCCUCGUGAGGGGAGCUGAUAGUAUGGUGAGAAUAAGCAUCGGCUAACUUCGUGCCAGCAGCC
rnacentral:rRNA from 1 species